rnacentral:rRNA from 1 species
GAUGAACGCUGGCGGCGUGCCUAAUACAUGCAAGUCGAGCGAACAGACGAGGAGCUUGCUCCUCUGACGUUAGCGGCGGACGGGUGAGUAACACGUGGAUAACCUACCUAUAAGACUGGGAUAACUUCGGGAAACCGGAGCUAAUACCGGAUAAUAUAUUGAACGGCAUGGUUCAAUAGUGAAAGACGGUUUUGCUGUCACUUAUAGAUGGAUCCGCGCCGCAUUAGCUAGUUGGUAAGGUAACGGCUUACCAAGGCAACGAUGCGUAGCCGACCUGAGAGGGUGAUCAGCCACACUGGAACUGAGACACGGUCCAGACUCCUACGGGAGGCAGCAGUAGGGAAUCUUCCGCAAUGGGCGAAAGCCUGACGGAGCAACGCCGCGUGAGUGAUGAAGGUCUUCGGAUCGUAAAACUCUGUUAUUAGGGAAGAACAAAUGUGUAAGUAACUAUGCACGUCUUGACGGUACCUAAACAGAAAGCCACGGCUAACUACGUG